rnacentral:lncRNA from 1 species
CUGGACCGGCUGGGAAUCCUCAAGGGCUGCAGCUACUUAUACCUGGGAGGAAGCAACAAGCAGACCAUCCGCGUAGGAUCACGACCCGGCGGCGGCGGCUCUCUGUUCUUCUUCUACCUCCGUUCCCCUUCCUCUUCCCUUCCUCUUGUAAUCACUGCUAAGACAAGAAUCCUGGUGUGAGUGCUAUAGAUCACGUGAUACAUAUAUCUAGUACCCAACAUCUGGUAUUCAGAGCCAGUCCACCAUCCUUCCUGCCCCAAUUCUUUUUCCACAAUCACCACCUUCAACCUGUUCGAUCAAAUGUUUAGCCACCAAAUGUCCUCAGAUCAGGUUCUCAACUUGGUCGUGGAGCAAGCGAUUUACCCUAUCACUACUAACAUAUUGUAUUCCCUCUUCGCUCCCUUUGGUGUAGAGCAGUUGGUGGUGUAUCCCCAAACAAAAUUAGGGGAUGGAGAGCCUUGUGUAGCAGCGGAUGUCCGAUUCACUUCGGCGCAAGCGGCGGCGCACGCGUUCGCAUACUGGGAUGGUCGCUGCAUCUACUACCGGUGUUGUCGCCUGCAGAUGUGGUGCGCUACACUCGACGUGUUGCCGGCCCCAGCAUCUACUUCACCCACCGUCGUCAAGGACAACCGUGACACCGCCGUCGACCUCAACAACUACACCACGACCAUCUCUGAUCAUGACGGCGAGUUCGUCGGGGCCAUCGAAAUCCCUGCGGCGGCAUCCACCAGCACGUCGCCUCACGGCCACGAUACAUUCACCAAGUCUUCCCUCGACAACGAUUGUUGCGUCCUAGUCGCGGGCACGGACGACUACACAUUGGUGGCGGCAAUUCCAGAAAUCGUCACCGAGCUCGCCGUCUUCCCCGGCGUCCCCUCGACCACCAAGGCCCAGGAGGACCUCGAGGUCAUCCACGACGCGCCCCCUGCCCGCAUCACGAUGGCGCAUGUCACCUAUCCGACGGAAUGCUCGCACCAGGUCGCCACAACCGACAUUCUCAAUGAGGGUUUGGGACUCAUCCUGAAAGAUGCCAUUGCGGAGCUCAUGCAUACGGUGACCCCCAUCGAAAUGUCCUCCGAGAUCGUGUCCCUGGAGGUGUGUGGCACAGGCCAAGGUGUUGUCGCCAUCGAUGUCAACGCUCCCACCACGUCUGUAUUCACUGGGUCGUCGGUGUGGCCCAGCUCCAACUCCGGCACCCCUGAAUAUUCACUGCCGUCGAGACACAAUGAUGUACAACAAGUGUUCGAGCCAAUGCCGUUUGACAAGCCUGAAGAUGCUGUUGCUGAUGUGAAGAAGCACAAAGAUGAUGCAAAGCUGACAGUACUUACACUCGUCGUGAACCCAUCAACUUGGUAUGAACAUUUCAGUCCCCGAGACCCAUGUUUUGUUUCGUUCGAUGCCCAGUUGGUAUUUGAGGAGCAUAUGAGGUCUGAACCGUGUCUAACAUGGCCACCACUAGUAGGAGCUAAUUUCAGUGAGUUAUGUUCAUCGGGGCAGUUUGAUUCAGAUUGCACAUUGUCAUUAUUCCCUUGGAAUCCAGGUGGUUAUUUGCUCAAGCAUAGCAAUCGGAUGACCAGAGUGUUUAUUACUGCUAAUUCACAAUGGCCUAUUACCCGUGUAAUUGAGGAGUCCAGUAAGUGCUUUCCUCAUAUUGUAAAAAUACAGUGGUUGUUUACUAUUUGUCUGAAGACAAUGACACAGUUCUUGGUAAUACUAUCUUUUGCUAAUCUGGAUUAUGAGCUAUGGCCUCCACCUUUGCGAGUGUUGAUCAGUCAAAAGGGGCACAUGUUCAGGCCAAGACCAUGGCCGUCUUUUGAUUGCUUUCAGGCAGAUGUGCAUCUGAAGUAUGCAGGGCAGCAAGUUACUUAUGUGAUGAAUCAUUUUUCUGGUGUUCGUAAUUUCCCAAGAGAAUCAUGGAGGUAUCUGCAAACUGAGCAACAGAAACCACGCCAUUCUGGGAAGGUUGUUUGUUGCAUCCAUAUGAUCUUAAGAGUCCUUUCUGUUCCUCGUCAGAUGAUACUGCAAUUAAUGGAGAAUGUGAACUCGAGUGCUGCAGAAUGGAGGUUGUAUGUUUCAACUGAGCUACAAGGUUAUGACAUACCUGACACCGAUUGUGAGAGCCAACCAAAGCAACGAUCACUGUUCAAGUUCAGUCGAAAGACAAUCCAACUGAAGCCACCAUGGCCAUCGUUUUCAUGCAAUUGCCACAGGUGCGGUCAGCAUUACUUACCGGUGACCCACCUGAGGACUACAUUGACACCAACUCCAUUUCGUCGUCGUGGACAUGAUGGGCUGCGUCAAUCCUGUUCCAAACUGCGCAUCGAUGGGUGCGGCCGCUGCCUACACCAUCCCGUCUUCCAGAUGAGCUGAGCUUCACUCCCAGCUGGUUCGCAUCUUCACUAAUUGGUCCUCCUAUUGAGAACAUGUGCAGCAGAAUAAAGUUGCGACCGCUUCCAUGGCCAUCCUGGGAGUGUUAUAGAGGCUGGAAGUUAUUGGUCAGGCAAGCGCCAUCCUUCAUGGAAGGGAGGUCUCAUCAUCAGUGGUCAAUAUUGGUAUAUUGGGGCAGUCUGGAGUUGACCCUUAUAGUGCAUAGUCCUCGUACUAAGUAUUUUAGAUCAAAUGCGUCAGUAUGAGUAUGGAAGCCGUACUAGCCUGGGAAGUGUUACCCAAAUCAGUGGUGGUCGUGAAGCAGUGCAGGGCACUAUGAUGCGUAUGGAUAUAUCAAUGAAUUGGCAUUUUUUGCGAAAAGAAGAAUUUGAGAGGAGUCGAAUUUAUUCACAUGACAACAUGAUAUUUGGGGGCAAGGAAGUGCUUAUCGCACGGUUAUUAACCAGUAUGUUCUGCUGCAAUACAACAAAAUCAGAGGUGAUUCAGUCUUUGUUUUUGCUUGACCGACAUAUCAAUGGAAUUUCUUGGCAUGUCCUAGUCACAGGUUCACAACGGCAAUGGUUUUCAAGUGGUUCUUCUCAUAUAUUUAUUGAGGAAAAUGUUCCAGAGAUUUGCAAUCAGCCGACCUCGUGUGCAAGAGUGCUACGCUGCCAACGUAUACCAGUCUUAGAUGCCCCAAUUCAUGCUGAAUGUGUUCCAUCUUGUUUUUGUGCUGUACUCUGUUCAAAGGAUCCGGGGUUACAUACUGCUGCUAGAGGAUUCUUGCUCCUUCCAAAUGACAAUGGUAUACCUGGUGCGUGGUUAGUUCUGCUGUGCCAGAGUCACACAACUCUGUUAGCUGCUCAAUGUGUGGAUGAUGAAACCACAAGAAAGCGGUGCAAGGAGGUGCCAUGGGAACCCAGUGAUUUUUACAUGGCAUCAGUUGUUCUCACCAGGUUGCAGCCAGAAAAAUUUCAACAAGGGAGGGGUGUCGCAGUUCUGGCUACAUUCUUUAAGCAAGCCCCCAUUGGCCACCACUACUACCACGACUUCGGCCACAACGGUGCCGACAACGAUCGCAACUACAAGUAUCUCACUGAAGUCUACCAUGUCCUCGGCUACCACCGCGACGUCGAGCCAGUCAAAGACCAUCGAGUGCAAUGGGAUCCGGGCGGUUCUCGGUGGAGUCGGCUUGGGGUCAAGCCGAAUUUCAAAAAAGGGGGGAUGUUAGGGCCCUUCCCCAGCCCAUACGUGUAUGUGGGCUUGCCUAUGGACAUCACUUGGGCCUGGCCCGGCUGGGAAUCCUCAAGGGCUGCAGCUACUUAUACCUGGGAGGAAGCAACGAGCAGACCAUCCGCGUAGGAUCACGAACCCGGCGGCGGCGGCUCUCUGUUCUUCUUCUACCUCCGUUCCCCUUUCUCUUCCCUUCCUCUUGUAAUCACUGCUAAGACAAGAAUCCUUGUGUGAGUGCUAUAGAUCGUGUGAUACAUAUAUCUGGUACCUAACAUUCAGG